rnacentral:rRNA from 1 species
GACGAACGCUGGCGGCGUGCUUAACACAUGCAAGUCGAACGGAAAGGCCCUGCUUUUGUGGGGUGCUCGAGUGGCGAACGGGUGAGUAACACGUGAGUAACCUGCCCUUGACUUUGGGAUAACUUCAGGAAACUGGGGCUAAUACCGGAUAGGAGCUCCUGCUGCAUGGUGGGGGUUGGAAAGUUUCGGCGGUUGGGGUUGGACUCGCGGCUUAUCAGCUUGUUGGUGGGGUAGUGGCGUACCAAGGCUUUGACGGGUAGCCGGCCUGGGAGGGUGACCGGCCACAUGGGGCCUCGGAUACGGCCCAGACUCCUACGGGCGGCAGCGGUGGGGACUUUUCCACAAUGGGCGGAAGCCUGAUGCAGCAUCGCCGCGUGCGGGAUGACGGCUUUCGGGUUGUAACCCGCUUUCGCCUGUGUCGAAGCGUGAGUGCGGUUAAUGGUAAAGAAGCACCGGCUAACUACGUG